rfam:Schistosoma rodhaini strain Burundi genome assembly, scaffold: SROB_scaffold0001225
AUCCAGCUGAUGAGUCCCAAAUAGGACGAAACGCGAAUCAAACUGUAU